rnacentral:rRNA from 1 species
UACGGAGGGUGCAAGCGUUAUCCGGAUUUACUGGGUUUAAAGGGUGCGUAGGUGGGCGAGUAAGUCAGUGGUGAAAUCUCCGGGCUUAACCCGGAAACUGCCAUUGAUACUAUUUGUCUUGAAUACCGUGGAGGUGAGCGGAAUAUGUCAUGUAGCGGUGAAAUGCUUAGAUAUGACAUAGAACACCAAUUGCGAAGGCAGCUCACUACACGAAUAUUGACACUGAGGCACGAAAGCGUGGGGAUCAAACAGG